AGAUGCUGGAGCUUCUGCCACUGGGAUGGAAUUCCAGGUGUCGGAAAGGACUUUCUGUCCCAGCCUUUGAUGUUGGUCACUUUAUCUGACUGUCUUUAUCCAGCCAUCUGUCCCGGGACACUGGUUUCCAGAUUUUGGCUGUUGGGAGUAGUGCAGCAGUGCUGGUGUCUUGCUUUCAUCAUUGCUCUGGCUGGACAAGUUCAAGAUAUUCUAUCUGCCGAAGACACUGCAUAUUUGUUGUCAAAAUUUUUUUUCUUUCAGGAUUUAAUUUUAUUUCAGUCAGAAAUUAACCCCCCUACCCUUCUAUUUUCAUAGCAUUCUAUAGUUCUUUUUAAGCAUUGAUUAACUUUGAAGUUUAUAUUAAACUUACAUUAAACUUUGAAAUUCUGAUUCAUAGGAAUAAAUUGAACACCUAUAUAAUGUG